GAUGAACGCUGGCGGCGUGCCUAAUACAUGCAAGUCGAGCGAACGGACGAGAAGCUUGCUUCUCUGAUGUUAGCGGCGGACGGGUGAGUAACACGUGGAUAACCUACCUAUAAGACUGGGAUAACUUCGGGAAACCGGAGCUAAUACCGGAUAAUAUUAUGAACCGCAUGGUUCAAAAGUGAAAGACGGUCUUGCUGUCACUUAUAGAUGGAUCCGCGCUGCAUUAGCUAGUUGGUAAGGUAACGGCUUACCAAGGCAACGAUGCAUAGCCGACCUGAGAGGGUGAUCGGCCACACUGGAACUGAGACACGGUCCAGACUCCUACGGGAGGCAGCAGUAGGGAAUCUUCCGCAAUGGGCGAAAGUCUGACGGAGCAACGCCGCGUGAGUGAUGAAGGUCUUCGGAUCGUAAAACUCUGUUAUUAGGGAAGAACAUAUGUGUAAGUAACUGUGCACAUCUUGACGGUACCUAAUCAGAAAGCCACGGCUAACUACGUG
rnacentral:rRNA from 1 species